ACUCAAAGGAAUUGACGGGGGCCCGCACAAGCGGUGGAGCAUGUGGUUUAAUUCGAUGCAACGCGAAGAACCUUACCUGGGCUAGAAAGCACAGGAACCCGGUCGAAAGGUCGGGGUGCCCUUCGGGGAACCUGUGGUUAGGUGCUGCAUGGCUGUCGUCAGCUCGUGUCGUGAGAUGUUGGGUUAAGUCCCGCAACGAGCGCAACCCUUGCCGUUAGUUGCCAGCAUUCAGUUGGGCACUCUAACGGGACUGCCGACCUUUAAGUCGGAGGAAGGUGGGGAUGACGUCAAGUACUCAUGGCCCUUACGUCCAGGGCUACACACGUGCUACAAUGGUCAGUACAAAGGGCUGCGAACCGGCGACGGGGAGCCAAUCCCAAAAAGCUGACCUCAGUACAGAUAAGAGUCUGCAACUCGACUCUUUGAAGUCGGAAUCGCUAGUAAUCGCUGAUCAGCAUAGCAGCGGUGAAUACGUUCCCGGGCCUUGUACACACCGCCCGU
rnacentral:rRNA from 1 species